UACCAUAAACGGAGGUAGCAACAUGUAUUUUACGCAUUUCAAAUCAUAAAUAUCAUGUAUUUUCACUAUGUAAUCAUGCGUUACAAAUAAUAAUCGUGGAAAUAAACAAGAGAAGAGAGAGUAAAGUAGACAACCUAACCACUACCAGAUUCCAAAACACGAACAAGACUAAACGAGUCGUCGUCGGUCACGUCAANNN
rnacentral:lncRNA from 1 species